rnacentral:misc_RNA from 1 species
GAUGAAGAACGUAGUGAAAUGCGAUAAGUAAUGUGAAUUGCAGAAUUCAGUGAAUCAUCGAAUCUUUGAACGCACAUUGCGCCCCUUGGUAUCCCGAGGGGCAUGCCUGUUCGAGCGUCAUUUCACCACUCAAGCCUGGCUUGGUGUUGGGCGACGUCCCCUUUGGGGACGCGCCUCGAAACGCUCGGCGGCGUGGCACCGGCUUUAAGCGUAGCAGAAUCUUUCGCUUUGGAAGUCGGGGCCCCGUCUGCCGGAAGACCUACUCGCAAGGUUGACCUCGGAUCAGGCAGGGAUACCCGCUGAACUUAAGCAUAUCAAUAAGCGGAGGA